UUUUAUCUUUUUUGUAUCGUGGGUCGUCAAAAUAAGCAACUAUAGUAUUUCUACGUAAAACACCCAUAAAGGGUAUUUCAAUCGAAAUCCCAAAACAGGAUAUUGGUUCUUUCUCUUGUUCUUGAUGAUACUAUAAUGGAAUGGCGAACCUAUUUCUUCGCUUUUUUGCUAACAAAUCCAAAUUAUUUUGAAGAAUAGAAGGAUAGACAAAAUUCCAAUGACCAUUGGACAUGAUUCGAUCCGGCAUUGAAUAAUCAAGAAUUUCCCUAUCUUUUUUACCAAAAGUAUCCAACAGUCUAUGUCUUACCUCAUCAUCAGCCAUCGAGAGGCCAAAGAUAUACCUUCCGUCAACAGAAAAGGAAUAAGUAUUCAUUUGAUCUUGAUCCUUGUGGAGUGAAAAAGAAGCUAUUACUAAACAACGACAAAAUUUUUUAUUUGAGCUAUAUCCUGCCAUAAGAAGACCAAUAGGAGCAAUACUUGAAAUGGCAAUCCAUAAAAAAACACCAAUACUAAGAUCCGCUAAAACAAAGCGAUAUCCCAAAGGAAUAACUAAAAAACUUAAUAAAAUUGAUAUGACUGCUAUAGACGGUCCAAUGCUAAAUAAGGGAAUAUCCCCUCGGGAUGGCAAGAUAUCCUCUUUAAAAAGUAGCUUAGUUCCAUCUGCUAUAGCUUGAAGCAGUCCCAGGGGGCCAGCAUAUUCAGGACCAAUACAUUGUUGUAUCGAUGCGGAUAUUUCUCUUUCUAACCACACAAUUACGAGUACUUCUAUUGUGAUUCCCAGUAAGAGGGUCAAAAUGGGUAGAAUCCAUAUCAGUCCAUAGACUUCUUUUAAUAAUUCCAAGUUCGAAAAAGAAUUGAUAGCUUCUACCUGUACCCUGUCUAUUAUCAUUUCAACGAUCAACUUCUCCCAUAAAAGGAACGUCCGCUCUCACAAUUCCCUCUUCAUCUACCAAAACAACCGGAAAUGUUUCAAAAAAAAGUAGGCAUACGGCGUACAAAAAGUUCGCGCCCUUCUUUAUCUCUAAAGAUAGGAUGUCCUAACCAUCCAACAGCUAUUCCAUCCCCAUUGUCCAUUGAGCCUGCUCUGAAUAAUCCCCCCUUUGUGGGCCUACAGCGGUUGAAUCCACCUACCUAUGAAGUCGGCAGCGACUUCGUACCCCGACAACCCCCGUUCUCGGAGAUUAUCGAUGAUGUCGAUAAAAGACGGGAGUUAGGGCGGGUUUGGCGGCCUACUCCGGGAUUUUUUCUGGCUGACCUUCAGGGACAACAAGGACGGGAUCCGAGUUCUCUAUUUGAAGGUAGAACCAUCUCGUCCACCACUUGCUGCGAGAAGAGGGGCACUGGAAGGGGAUGUAACGCGACUUCAAGCUAUCCCGAAGUCAGAAUCCAACACAUCCAGAUACCCUGCUAGAUUCCAUCAAGCAGCUCAUAGUAAAAACAGAAGAGGUCAAGAAAGGGCUCUACCCCAAUGUAGGCCUCGCAAAGGUGAGAGAAGGCACUCAGAAAGGCGAUAGAGUUGGGGUUCAAGUGGAGCAAAGAAAGGCCAUAGAAAUUCAGGACAAGAAGAAGAAACUUGGAAGGCGGAGGAAGAAAACCGCAAGAAAUGUAAUCCUCGACUACAACCAUGCGGCCCAAGAUGGGUUUAGGUUCUUUACCUCAUGCCUCCCUCUGCAUGGUCCUGCGACCAGGGAGGGCACCGUCGUCUUGCAGCUUCUUCAAGGACGCGGUGGUUGAGGUAGACUUCUCAAGAUCCAUCGCCGCCAGAGGAUCGCCGGAGAACAAGAGGAAAGAAGGAAGCUAGGGUUUUCUUUGCAGAGAGCGGAGAAGACGAAGGGCGCUAGAAGGCAAGAGUGUUUUCUGGCAAACGGACUUUAAAUGAAUUCCCAAAAUCCCUUCAAAUAAGCGCACUACCGACGGCGCGUAUUCCAAGGAAAGGAGAGAGUUUGCCGCCGGAAAAUUCUGGGUCCGUUGCGCGCGGUAGUUUUCAGACUUCAAUUUAAAUUCACUCAUGACCGUUGAACUUCACGCGGUGUUGUCGAUGGCUUUUGUCUCUACGGUUUUCACACCGAGAUCGACCAGAUGAGAGCGACAACAAUUCCGACAUCAGAAGUCGUGAUCGAUAACAUGAGUUCAUUUAAGCAGAAGUCGGGGGCUACUGUCAGGGUUACGGAUAAGGUAUACCCUCUAUCCUUGGAUGUUCGUUGUAUACUGACACGGUGUACCCACGCGUAUACGGAUAGUUUCCGUAUACAUUAAGGAAAUAUGUCACGUGGUAGAUAUGGUAUCUAUAGACGGAAGAAGUUCUACUCGGAUAAUACUGGGUCUUUUCCAUAUCGCGAGGGGUCCGAUAUCUCCGAGUCCCACCUGGAGAUCAACUGGCCCGCGGUAUAUAAGGGACCCCCCGGGUAGGACCUAAGGCAUCGAAUAUUACCGCCUACACAUCCACCACAGCCUACGAAGUCGGAGCCUACAGGAGCCAAGUCGCCGGAAGAUCUAGUCGAACCAACUCAACUACGGUCUCAUCGGUAUCAUUAAGUUCUGUUAUUCCCUUUGUAAUCUGUGGUUUCCAUCAUAUAAUCCCAUAUCAACUGGAUUAGGGCUAUUACCUACUAAGGGGCCUAAACUAGUAUGACCCUUGUCUUUUGUUUGCUUGAUAUCGUACUAUGUAGAUCCUCGUACCAACGAACCCCAAUACCCUCUAUAUCCGGUCUACGGGUAUCCCCCGUCGACAAUGUGUAUGACUGCCUUUCAUUAUAUUGAGCUUUACCAAAUUAUAGUGACUCGUGUUAGAUGUCUCUCAUGCUCUCUCAAUCAAGGUUGCACAACCAUUAUGCUAAGUUUCUACUCUGGAACUUAGCAUCAUUUCAUCCAUUUCCACUACCACCGAAAAAAGAAAAAUAUAGUUGAUGAAUAAAUUCUCCAUUUAGUUUAUGCCUUCUUCUCCUAAGAAAAAUCCUUGAAAAAGAAAAAUAAAAGUAGGGAAAGGCGUGGCUAUAAAAAAUAUAAUACUUUUCUAAAAUGUGGAGCAAUUUGAAAAAAAAAAACAGAGAGAAAAAGAAAAAAA
rnacentral:lncRNA from 1 species